GACGAACGCUGGCGGCGUGCUUAACACAUGCAAGUCGAACGGAAAGGCCCUGCUUUUGUGAGGUGCUCGAGUGGCGAACGGGUGAGUAACACGUGAGUAACCUGCCCUUGACUUUGGGAUAACUUCAGGAAACUGGGGCUAAUACCGGAUAGGAGCUCCUGCUGCAUGGUGGGGGUUGGAAAGUUUCGGCGGUUGGGGAUGGACUCGCGGCUUAUCAGCCUGUUGGUGGGGUAGUGGCUUACCAAGGCUUUGACGGGUAGCCGGCCUGAGAGGGUGACCGGCCACAUUGGGACUGAGAUACGGCCCAGACUCCUACGGGAGGCAGCAGUGGGGAAUAUUGCACAAUGGGCGGAAGCCUGAUGCAGCAACGCCGCGUGCGGGAUGACGGCCUUCGGGUUGUAAACCGCUUUCGCCUGUGACGAAGCGUGAGUGACGGUAAUGGGUAAAGAAGCACCGGCUAACUACGUG
rnacentral:rRNA from 1 species